UCUGAUAGGCAUGGGCGUACAGGAUAUCCACUGAAGAUCCAUUAUCUAUCAUCAUGCGCUUCAUGUCCACCGUGCCCACUUGCGCUGUUAUCACCAAGGCCCCCUCAUGUGGCUCGAUGGGUUCCGAAGGAUAGUCAGCGUCGGUAAAUGAUAUGACAGUCCCGGGGAAUGGUCUAUCCACUUUCAGGGGAGCAUCUGUCACAGUCAUGACCGAAUCCAGGUAAGCCCUUCUCUUCCUCCCUAUCAACUUCCCUGCAGACCCACCGGUUAUCACAUCGAUAACAUGCCUUGGCGGCAGUACUGG
rnacentral:lncRNA from 1 species